AGUAACACGUGAGUAACCUGCCCCUGAUUUCGGGAUAAGCCUGGGAAACUGGGUCUAAUACCGGAUACGACCACCUGACGCAUGUUGGGUGGUGGAAAGUUUUUCGAUCGGGGAUGGGCUCGCGGCCUAUCAGCUUGUUGGUGGGGUAAUGGCCUACCAAGGCGACGACGGGUAGCCGGCCUGAGAGGGCGACCGGCCACACUGGGACUGAGACACGGCCCAGACUCCUACGGGAGGCAGCAGUGGGGAAUAUUGCACAAU
rnacentral:rRNA from 1 species